UACGUAGGGGGCAAGCGUUGUCCGGAAUCAUUGGGCGUAAAGAGCGCGUAGGCGGUCCGGUAAGUCCGCUCUGAAAGUCCGGGGCUCAACCCCGGGAAGCGGGCGGAUACUGUCGGGCUAGAGUCCGGAAGAGGCGAGUGGAAUUCCUGGUGUAGCGGUGAAAUGCGCAGAUAUCAGGAGGAACACCAAUGGCGAAGGCAGCUCGCUGGGACGGUACUGACGCUGAGGCGCGAAAGCGUGGGGAGCAAACAGG
rnacentral:rRNA from 1 species